rnacentral:rRNA from 1 species
UACGUAGGGGGCAAGCGUUGUCCGGAAUUAUUGGGCGUAAAGCGCGCGCAGGCGGCCUAUUAAGUCUGAUGUGAAAGCCCACGGCUCAACCGUGGAGGGCCAUUGGAAACUGGUAGGCUAGAGUCCGGAAGAGGAGAGUGGAAUUCCUGGUGUAGCGGUGAAAUGCGCAGAUAUCAGGAAGAACACCCGUGGCGAAGGCGGCUCUCUGGGACGGUACUGACGCUGAGACGCGAAAGCGUGGGGAGCGAACAGG